rnacentral:lncRNA from 1 species
CUUCAUUUCUGUAAGGCAGAAAAUUGAGGCUAUUUGUUUUCUGAAUUCUAUAGAAAUCAAAAGAGGUGGUAUGUAAGUGUCGAUGAGACAUUAACUCUCUAUCCAAGUCACAAUUUGUAAAAAGUAAACAAUUGUAGGUCAAAGAAAGGCCUUCAUCACUGAGCCCUGGCUCACACCGAACAGCAAGCUAUAAAGGGUCCUGGAAUUUGACUAUAGUGUUUUAAAACAAUUCAAACAGAAAACUAAAAAUCUAAUAUAUACAAAAAAAACCAAGACUAUCUUAAGAAACACUUACAAACCACAUCAACAAACGACAAGCACUGAACAACUUCCUGACAUAGGACAAAAGCAAAAUAAAACACAUCAACAAACGACAAGCACUGAACAAGUUCCUGACAUAGGACAAAAGCAAACAGAUAUGUAUUUUUGCUCAUUACUCUUUAUUCCUUAUGUUUUAAAACCUAAUUAUUCUUUAUUCUUGCAUUUUUUUUUGGUUCAAUUUUCUCUUCAUUUUUUUGCCCUUUAUUCUGAGCUUUUUGUCCAUUCUUCCAUAUUCUGUAAACUCCAUUCAGACCCUUAUAAUUACAAGUUACCUUGUUGCUAAAAGCCAAAAAAUAGAAACCGAUUAAACACUGUGUCAUGAAUGUAUUUAUGAACCGCUUUUCAAAAGUCUUUAAUUCAUUUCAAAGCUUUUACUACGAAGAAAAAUAUUAUGUAACAUCCCAUUAGAAUACAAAUACAACUUUUUAGAAAAUUACCCUUUUUAUUUUGAAUGACUUAACAAAAUUGAUCAUCUUGGUAA